GGGCGGGUAGCUCAGCUGGAUAGAGUACUGGCCUCCGAAGCCAGGAGUCGCGGGUUCGAAUCCCGCCUCGCCCACCA
rnacentral:tRNA from 1 species